rnacentral:rRNA from 1 species
UACAGAGGUCUCAAGCGUUGUUCGGAAUCACUGGGCGUAAAGGGUGCGUAGGCCGCACGGUAAGUCAGAGGUGAAAUCCCGGAGCUCAACUCCGGAAUGGCCUCCGAUACUGCCGUGCUCGAGGACUGGAGAGGAGUCUGGAAUUCACAGUGGAGCAGUGAAAUGCGUAGAUAUUGUGAGGAACACUAGUGGCGAAGGCGGCUCACUGGACUGGUACUGACGCUGAUGCGCGAAAGCGUGGGGAGCAAACAGG